UUAAGCGACUAAGCGUACACGGUGGAUGCCCUGGCAGUCAGAGGCGAUGAAGGACGUGCUAAUCUGCGAUAAGCGUCGGUAAGGUGAUAUGAACCGUUAUAACCGGCGAUUUCCGAAUGGGGAAACCCAGUGUGUUUCGACACACUAUCAUUAACUGAAUCCAUAGGUUAAUGAGGCGAACCGGGGGAACUGAAACAUCUAAGUACCCCGAGGAAAAGAAAUCAACCGAGAUUCCCCCAGUAGCGGCGAGCGAACGGGGAGCAGCCCAGAGCCUGAAUCAGUAUGUGUGUUAGUGGAAGCGUCUGGAAAGGCGUGCGAUACAGGGUGACAGCCCCGUACACAAAAAUGCACAUAUUGUGAGCUCGAUGAGUAGGGCGGGACACGUGGUAUCCUGUCUGAAUAUGGGGGGACCAUCCUCCAAGGCUAAAUACUCCUGACUGACCGAUAGUGAACCAGUACCGUGAGGGAAAGGCGAAAAGAACCCCGGCGAGGGGAGUGAAAAAGAACCUGAAACCGUGUACGUACAAGCAGUGGGAGCACGCUUAGGCGUGUGACUGCGUACCUUUUGUAUAAUGGGUCAGCGACUUAUAUUCUGUAGCAAGGUUAACCGAAUAGGGGAGCCGAAGGGAAACCGAGUCUUAACUGGGCGUUAAGUUGCAGGGUAUAGACCCGAAACCCGGUGAUCUAGCCAUGGGCAGGUUGAAGGUUGGGUAACACUAACUGGAGGACCGAACCGACUAAUGUUGAAAAAUUAGCGGAUGACUUGUGGCUGGGGGUGAAAGGCCAAUCAAACCGGGAGAUAGCUGGUUCUCCCCGAAAGCUAUUUAGGUAGCGCCUCGUGAAUUCAUCUCCGGGGGUAGAGCACUGUUUCGGCAAGGGGGUCAUCCCGACUUACCAACCCGAUGCAAACUGCGAAUACCGGAGAAUGUUAUCACGGGAGACACACGGCGGGUGCUAACGUCCGUCGUGAAGAGGGAAACAACCCAGACCGCCAGCUAAGGUCCCAAAGUCAUGGUUAAGUGGGAAACGAUGUGGGAAGGCCCAGACAGCCAGGAUGUUGGCUUAGAAGCAGCCAUCAUUUAAAGAAAGCGUAAUAGCUCACUGGUCGAGUCGGCCUGCGCGGAAGAUGUAACGGGGCUAAACCAUGCACCGAAGCUGCGGCAGCGACGCUUAUGCGUUGUUGGGUAGGGGAGCGUUCUGUAAGCCUGCGAAGGUGUGCUGUGAGGCAUGCUGGAGGUAUCAGAAGUGCGAAUGCUGACAUAAGUAACGAUAAAGCGGGUGAAAAGCCCGCUCGCCGGAAGACCAAGGGUUCCUGUCCAACGUUAAUCGGGGCAGGGUGAGUCGACCCCUAAGGCGAGGCCGAAAGGCGUAGUCGAUGGGAAACAGGUUAAUAUUCCUGUACUUGGUGUUACUGCGAAGGGGGGACGGAGAAGGCUAUGUUGGCCGGGCGACGGUUGUCCCGGUUUAAGCGUGUAGGCUGGUUUUCCAGGCAAAUCCGGAAAAUCAAGGCUGAGGCGUGAUGACGAGGCACUACGGUGCUGAAGCAACAAAUGCCCUGCUUCCAGGAAAAGCCUCUAAGCAUCAGGUAACAUCAAAUCGUACCCCAAACCGACACAGGUGGUCAGGUAGAGAAUACCAAGGCGCUUGAGAGAACUCGGGUGAAGGAACUAGGCAAAAUGGUGCCGUAACUUCGGGAGAAGGCACGCUGAUAUGUAGGUGAAGUCCCUUGCGGAUGGAGCUGAAAUCAGUCGAAGAUACCAGCUGGCUGCAACUGUUUAUUAAAAACACAGCACUGUGCAAACACGAAAGUGGACGUAUACGGUGUGACGCCUGCCCGGUGCCGGAAGGUUAAUUGAUGGGGUCAGCGCAAGCGAAGCUCUUGAUCGAAGCCCCGGUAAACGGCGGCCGUAACUAUAACGGUCCUAAGGUAGCGAAAUUCCUUGUCGGGUAAGUUCCGACCUGCACGAAUGGCGUAAUGAUGGCCAGGCUGUCUCCACCCGAGACUCAGUGAAAUUGAACUCGCUGUGAAGAUGCAGUGUACCCGCGGCAAGACGGAAAGACCCCGUGAACCUUUACUAUAGCUUGACACUGAACAUUGAGCCUUGAUGUGUAGGAUAGGUGGGAGGCUUUGAAGUGUGGACGCCAGUCUGCAUGGAGCCGACCUUGAAAUACCACCCUUUAAUGUUUGAUGUUCUAACGUUGACCCGUGAUCCGGGUUGCGGACAGUGUCUGGUGGGUAGUUUGACUGGGGCGGUCUCCUCCUAAAGAGUAACGGAGGAGCACGAAGGUUGGCUAAUCCUGGUCGGACAUCAGGAGGUUAGUGCAAUGGCAUAAGCCAGCUUGACUGCGAGCGUGACGGCGCGAGCAGGUGCGAAAGCAGGUCAUAGUGAUCCGGUGGUUCUGAAUGGAAGGGCCAUCGCUCAACGGAUAAAAGGUACUCCGGGGAUAACAGGCUGAUACCGCCCAAGAGUUCAUAUCGACGGCGGUGUUUGGCACCUCGAUGUCGGCUCAUCACAUCCUGGGGCUGAAGUAGGUCCCAAGGGUAUGGCUGUUCGCCAUUUAAAGUGGUACGCGAGCUGGGUUUAGAACGUCGUGAGACAGUUCGGUCCCUAUCUGCCGUGGGCGCUGGAGAACUGAGGGGGGCUGCUCCUAGUACGAGAGGACCGGAGUGGACGCAUCACUGGUGUUCGGGUUGUCAUGCCAAUGGCACUGCCCGGUAGCUAAAUGCGGAAGAGAUAAGUGCUGAAAGCAUCUAAGCACGAAACUUGCCCCGAGAUGAGUUCUCCCUGACUCCUUGAGAGUCCUGAAGGAACGUUGAAGACGACGACGUUGAUAGGCCGGGUGUGUAAGCGCAGCGAUGCGUUGAGCUAACCGGUACUAAUGAACCGUGAGGCUUAACCUU
rnacentral:rRNA from 1 species